UUUUAUAAAUGAUUUAAUUAAGAUUAUUUAUAUAAAAAAAUUGAAAUUAAUUUAUUUAUUUUGUUGGGGUGACAGAAAAAUAUAUAAAACUUUUUUUAUUAUAAAACAUAUAUAAGUGAAUAAUUGAUCCAGUAUUAUUGAUUAUAA
rnacentral:rRNA from 1 species